GAAAAGCUUGGCUCCUUUAUCAUUCUUAUCCCGAGGAAAUAUCCUCCUUAAAAAAGCAAGCAAGCUAACUAGCUUUGUUUCAAAGCAGACGCAGAGAAGUGUAUAUCCCUGAAUAGGUUUGACUGGAACGAGUUUUUAUUUUUGGUUCCUCCCUUGAGUCUACUCGAUUUGCAGAGAUUGAAGAGUCAAACCGUUUUUUUAUUUCAUUGUUUUGAAGUUUGAAACAUGGCUUGAAUUUUGCGUUAGCGAGAAAGAGAGAGAGAACAGAAAAAGUGUGUCAAAGCUAGCGUGCUA
rnacentral:misc_RNA from 1 species